GCCAGGCAAGGUGGCACUUGCCAGUAGUCCCAGCCACUCAGGAGGCUGAGGUGGGAGGAUCUCUUGAGCCUAGGCGUUCUGAGCUAUGGUGUGUUUGAAGUCAACAUGGUGACCUUCUGAGAGCAGGGGACCGCCAGGUUUGCCUAAGGAGGGGUGAACUAGCCCAGGUCAGAGACAGCAGGUCAAAACUCCUCUGUUGAUCAGUAACGGGAUCAUGCCUGUGAAUAACCACUGCACUCCAGCCUGGGCAACAUAAAGGAAACCCUGUCUAU
rnacentral:SRP_RNA from 1 species